UUACCAGUUCGGUUUUUUUUAUUGGAGGUUUUUGAAGAUCAAGGGAAUUAGAGAGAGGAGCUUCAUGCUUUGGGUCGGGGAAGGAAAGACAUAGAAUUUGGAUUUUUCUUCUUCGUAGAGUUUUGGAGAAGACUGAGGCAAUCGCUGCUGAAGUCAGUGUUGUAAUGGUGAAUCGGGAUUUUUAAAUGAAGUGGGUUUGAAUACUCUUGACUGUUUUGUGAAAUCGAGUUACGUCUGUGAUUGAAGGAUUAAAACGGUGUCUAUAGGAUUGAGUAUGUGGAGUGAAUGAAAUUUAUUGGGUUAAUCUAACAAGACAGUCAGUGGAUACAAGAUCGUAAGUACAAAGCAGUAUUGAAGGUUAACAGUUUGGGUUGUACGGGGUUCUCUGUAACGU
rnacentral:lncRNA from 1 species